rnacentral:lncRNA from 1 species
CUAGGACCAACCGAACACAAUUAAAUCAAAUAUGCAAAGCAAAUUAUAACCGGAUAUAAAAUGGAAUAAUUCCAAUGGCCUGAGGCCCUGAGAAACACAGAUUAGCAGUCCAAUGGCAUGACCUCCAUAUAACUUAAACUCCACCAAGUACAAUGGUAAGAGGUAUAACAAGCAUCACAAGAGUACCAGCUAUCUCAUUCAGUUCUAAUUUUAAACCGACAACCAACUGCAUAUGACAGCCCUGUUCAUGGUCACUAUAAGCAUAGCACCAAUCUACUCAGAAGAGACCGGCGUUUGAGGCUGUCCUGAUGAUCUGGAACAGAGCUGCAUGGAGAAAAGAGUCGACAAGACAAUCAGUUCAUAAAUCUAUGCCCAAGGAAUUUGAAGUAACUGUUGAUGUUAUUGACGAAGACCCAAAUAGCAGCAGGGUUUCUCACUUCCAGAGUGAAAUAACUGUCAAUAGUUUCCUUUGCUUGAUCAUUUCAGAACUCUUUAAUGUGAUUCAGAAGUUCUAUGAUAUUUACAAAAAUAAAUUAUUGCUUUGCAUCAGAUUAGAUAGUAGCUAAUGCCCCAUGGAUGGUAAUAUUAGCUUUCAAUAACCCACCAGUAGCAAACCAUGGGACCAUACGUGAAUCGAUCAGAACAGGGUUACAGUUUCAACAUUUUUAAAUACAAAGCAAUGGUGUAGAUUGUCACUACUGCCAUGCUGCUUUAAGAUUGCAAGUUCUGUUCUCUACAGAGAAGCAGUUUACCACAACGCUACCAGUUCUGCCUCUACUUAACAUAGCAGUUUAGCACAAUCAAAUUUCCAUAAAACACAAGAGCUCUGUGCACUUGAUAAAAAAAAUUGCAUGUUACUCCCUCCGUCCCAUAUUAGUUUCGCUGAAAUGAAUGUAUCUAACAUAUUUCAGUACUAGAUACAUCCAUUUGAGCGACAACUAUUAUGGGACAGAGGGACUAUUUUCCUACGAGUAAGAACUUAUCAGGAUUGUCUUUAAUUUGGUCCAGUUAUUUGAAGAAAAUUGUUCAGAGAUGUUAUGGUUGGUAAGCUGACAUACCAAACAACUGGAGUGUACGAUCAACAACUCAAACAUAACAACAUAAAUGCAGAAACUUACAUGACCCAACAACAACAAAGACAAAAAAACCAAGCACGAUAGGUCCAACAGGAUAAUCAUUUGCUUUCUUGACUGUCUCGGGAACAGAACCCCUCUUCGUGAUAUUCUUCUCAAAUACUGCAAUUUUCCUAUCAGCAACACGUCUUGAGGUAGUCUGCACAAAAAAAACAGUAAAAAGGUAGCACAUAAGCAUUGUUUAUUUUGGAUAUUGAGUCAACGAAAUAACAUUCAUAAUGAUGUUAAAUAGUUUCAAGAACAACACACUAAUUCCAUACUCGAUGCCAGUAAUGCUAAACAGUACAGACUGCACCUUUUAGCCAUACAGCAAAGACUAAUCAAGCUAAGCCCUAUGAUGCCAUCACGAGCUAACUGAAGUCCAUUUGCGUCCUAUUUUCGAUGGUUUGGGUGUUACCCAUUCUUUGCUUCUCAUUUGGGUAGAUGAUUUAUCCAAAUUUGCCAAGGGGAUGGAGUUUGAUUUGUCCGUUAGGAAGAACGUAACAGGUAUGGACGAGCAAGGUAGACUUCUAGAAUUGACUCAUAAAUAUAGUAAAAUUGUAAAGUUAAGGUUUACUCAAUGAACUAUGACAUUUGUUCCUUUUGCUAGAUCUAUUAUUAUACAGUUAACAAAAGCAAUGACAAAACAAAAGCAAUGACAAGGCUCGUGGGGAAAAUAUAGAAAUAGGCCAGAAUCACAUAGAAAAAAAACAUCUAGCUCUCAAUUUAGUAAACUCUAAUUAUUAAGAGAAAUCACUAAUUGUUAGAUCUUAAUUCAAAAUAUAAGAGUCCUAAUACUCUCUCGAUGAGCCAAAAAUAUUCUGUGGUGGCAAGCGCCAAAAUCAAGAGAAGCAAGUGAGGAAAGGAGUACAUAAUAAAAUUGCUUGAUAUCAUUGACCAAAUAAGAUGGCUAACCCACAGAAAUGCGAUCAAACUUCUAGGUUUCUUUAGAUUCUGAAAUACACAAAUGUCACCUUUCAACAAAAAAGUGCAAGUGAACCCACUUGCAGUUUGUCAUUUUCCAAAUGCGAGCUAAAUACCCAUGCAUUGAUAGGAACAUCAAAUUAGAUUACCCAAUAAUAAGUUAUUUUUCUUACGGAUCAACACAUUAGCCCCAACAUGCAACGAAACCGUGAUGCUAAAAUUAGCCUAUGCAGUACCCUCAUCAGUUACUACUGUAUAUUAGUAGUGGCAGUUGCGGGUAAUUAUAUUCUAACUUUGGCAGUAGAAAAGAUCAUCAUAUCAGCCGUUAGUAACAGAUCUAAAGGCUCACAUCAGGAGCGACCAAGGAGGUGAACCGUCCGUCCCCGCCGAGUAAUGAUAUUGCAAAAACUCGUCCAAAAUAGGCAUAGAUCAUUAAUAAUCUGGAACCAUUCAACCCCUGGCACACUACUUAGGAGUAUAUACUAAAGUAUAAACUUGAAACUUUGCUAGGGUGCAAUAAAAGACAUGUUACCACACAUAACAGAAACCAACAAUCUAAAUUGCAGGAAGCCACGCAAACGUAUGCAUAGCACAAACUGCAUAUACAGACGCAGAUCUUCAAGCAAAACUUGCAUAUCUUUUUUUAAUUGAAAAUAUAACUUGUAUCCACGAACACCUCCACAAAUACAGUGCUAAGAUUUCUUCGCGUGAUAUUGACGAGAUCUAAAGCAUAGACAAGAGUUAAUACAAAGAACUCGCUAGAAAGUGCAUCCUACGAAAAGCGUGCAUCCUUUGAAAAAGUUAGAUCCUCCUAAAGCGAAUGUUCUUUUCUUCCACACAGAAGAGAAUCUACAUAUACAAUACAAUACCCCAGUCAAGGUCCUGUCCAAGAAAAAGCCAAAGAUAAACCGUCGAUUCAUCCAAUCGGACAACAAAACACGCGGGGCUAGCCUCCUGAAAAGGGCCACGGUCGAACGGCACGCCGGAUCUGCCACAACAGCUCCCCGACUAAACGCCGACACUCGCAGACAGAUUCCUCUCGACAGAACCGAGCAGAACAGGCAACGCUACGGACGGGGAGACGGGGAAGGGGGAGACGGGGAAGGGGGAGGCGGAGGCGGGAUGACUAACCAUGGCGACGGCGACGACGGGAACGUCGGCGGGUCGCCGACAGCCGGGACGCGGCUGAAGACGGGGAGAGGGUCAGAGGAGUGGAGGGGGGCCCUGCGGAGGAAUUGGGAGACGGCGACGGCUGGGUCUGAAAGCGAGGGGCGUCCGAGACCACCGGUCGGUCGGCCUUUUAUUACGCGCGCCGGGGCCGGACCGCUCUCGCGUUUCCCGUGGGCUACCUGCGGCGGCCGACUCGUGCAAGGCGUGACGCGUCGUCACGGCGAUCGACAGAUAAGGUCGAAAUGAAUGCCCGAGAUAUCCUUCCUUUGCUGCUGUAGCGCUUCGUCCGAAGUCUGGUGCCGCUCGGGUCGUAUUUUGAUUCUGUGCCUCGUUUUGGUGCUUCAAAGAUGGCAGGGGGCAUAUGUGGCCAUGUGGUCCUCGGUGCGCGGAACGCGUGCGACAGCCGGCGUUUCCCGAUCCGACCGGGCAUUGCAACCCCCCCUGUCUCUGGUCCGUUCUUGGGCAAGACAGGCGAGAGAGAGAGGGUGCCGCACCCUUCCUUCGGCUACAAAUAUUUUCUUUAUACUCCCUCUGUUCUCAAAUAUAUGUCUUCUUAGAGAUUUCAACAAGGGACUAUAUACAAAACAAAAUGAGUAAAUCUACACUUUAAAACAUGUCUAUAUGUUUUUUUCUUGGGUUUGUUGAGCCGUGUCCUCAGUAGAACCUUCGUACUUGUUUGUGAGACUUAGGUGUGUGUGUUUGAACUAGUCCUUAUAUGUGUGCUUUAUGGCGGUUUUCUUUAUUUAUAAAGUGGGGCAAAAACCUUUUUUUUAAACAUGUCUAUAUACAUUCGUAUGUUGUAGUCUAUUUGAAAUCUUAAAAAAAAGACUUAAUGAAGGGAGCAGUACAUUGCAAAAAGUCUACCUCUGUCAUCAUGUGAUGAAACAGUCGGUCCUUCUGCUGGUAAUGUAUAAAGGAAGACAAUGUUUGAGUAGAGUUUGUGCAAAAUCAUUGGAAUCCUUACGCUUUGCGUCCCAUCAAGAUAAUGUCUCUUCUUGAGUUCGUACAACACAAGUUUAGUGUUCGUUGGGACAAUUUUGUGUGCUCGUUUUCUUGGUUGCACAAGCUUCAGUAUCUAUGAGGUGAGUUUUUCUUUUUGCCUCUUUACCCUUACUAGUAAACAUGCCCUUCCUAUAUAUAUCAUGGGAUUCUAUCUCAUGUCGACUGGUAUUCAUAAUGGUUUUGAUAAGCAUAGGGGUGCUUUUCUAUUGGAAUGCUUCGGACAAAAAUACAGGUUGGUUAAGUGGAAAGCUAUGUGCAGGCCCAAAAACCUUGGGGGGUUGGGUAUUCUGAACACUGAUAUUAUGAACAAGUGCCUUCUGGUCAAAUGGUGGAGGAAAAUCAUGACCACGGAGGAGGACACAUUGUGGCUAUCACUUAUUAAUGCUAAGUACUUUCCUAGUUCUAAUCCCAUGUUUGCCUCUUCUCAGGGAGGAUCUCAAUUUUGAAAAGAUCUUGUCAAGGUCCGCCCCAUUUUUAAGGACCACGUUAAGUUUGUGGUUGGUAACAGUGCUUCGACUCGUUUUUGGCUAGACAGGUGGUGUGGAGACUCUACCCUCCCGGUGGCUUUCCCCACGUUGUUUUCUUACUGUCUAAACCAGGAUAUCUCCAUCGCGGAGUUAUCUGCCAAUAACUAGGACCUGGCCUUCCAUCGCUCGUUGUCCCCUGCAGAGUUGGAUGACUGGCAGCGUCUUGUUGCCUUCAUCCCCGUGCUCUCGAAGAGAGAAGACCCGGUGAUCUGGCCCCACUCUUCGUCUGGUCGUUUCUCUGUUAAGUCGCUUUACUCCAAUUUGAUUGACGGCACCCCCACUAACAAGUCUAGACCUAUUUGGCGUACCCAUAUUCCCCCUAAGGUGAAUAUCUUUCUUUGGCAAGCUUUCAGGGGCCGUCUGCCUGUGGCUGAUCAAAUACGUAAACGCAAUGGUCCGGGAUCGGACAGUUGUGCGCUUUGCGGAGACAGGACAUGAACCACAUUUUAUUUCACUGUGUGUUGACCAAGGUGGUUUGGUGUUGCUUUAGGUCGUGGCUUCAGGUCUCUUAGAGCCCUUCCUCCUUCUCUGAACUUCAGGCUGUGUCCAAUGGCCAAGUGGGGGUCACAAAUCGUUUAUUCUAGGUCGGCCUUGCUGCGGUUCGCCGGGCCCUGUGGACAACUAGAAAUAAGUUUACGAUUGAACAUAUUUUUUCCUUCCAAACCUAUUGAUUGCUUAUUUAAACCAUGCUUGUUCCUGCAGCAAUGAAGAUCAUUGACUAAGGCGGAAGACUGCGAUGCUUUCGACCUCCUAUCUUCUAAAAUUCGGGCUUUAGCGUCCUCUUUAUCAAGGCAGGAGCCACGUGGCUAGUUGUCCUGGGUGACCUUUUGGCUUACUGGUUGUCGUCGUUUGACUACCUUUCAUGUUUCUUAGUUCCGGCCCGCGUGCCGAGGAUGUGGCUUGUGCGCCAUGUACCAUCGUUCCUUCUAUUGGACUUUGGUUGUGGUCGUCUGCUUGUUUGUUUGUCUUGAACGUUGCCUGGUGGCUUUAUUUAUAAAGUCGGGCUGAUGCCUUUCCUCUAAAAACACAUCAUGAUGAUACAUUGUCAGUUUUGAGUAUGUCUUCCAAAUAACUGAAAGCAUCAUUAUCAGAUCAGGAUCUUUGUACCAAAUAAUGUUUUAUGAAAAAAAAUGGAAGACAAGCAGAAUGCAAUCUUCUAACUAUAAUAACAAUAUAAUUUAGGUAAACAUGACACACUGGAAAGUUGUAGCAAGCUAAAAGGAAGACACAAAAUUUGUAAACAACAUUAUUAGUGCGAGAUGCUGAAUCUGAAUGAAAUAAAAAUAAUGGCAUCCAUGUACAGAACCUAAAUUUGCAUAUCAAUUGUUGAACUCGAAGACAAAAAAUC